rnacentral:tRNA from 1 species
GGAGAAGUACCCAAGCAGGUCGAAGGGGACGGUUUGCUAAACCGUUAGGCUGGGUAACCGGUGCAGGAGUUCGAAUCUCCUCUUCUCCG